rnacentral:ncRNA from 1 species
ACCGCUAGGGGAGCACAUCGCUGAGAUUGAAUGUAAAUUCUAACCCUCACUACUUGAACCGGAUAAUACCGGCGUAAGGAAGCAUUUUUAU